rnacentral:rRNA from 1 species
UACAGAGGUUGCAAGCGUUAAUCGGAUUUACUGGGCGUAAAGCGUGUGUAGGUGGUUGUUCAAGUCGGUUGUGAAAUCCCCGGGCUUAACCUGGGAAUGGCAUUUGGGACUGCAAGGCUGGAGUGCGGCAGAGGAGACUGGAAUUCCUGGUGUAGCAGUGAAAUGCGUAGAUAUCAGGAGGAACACCGAUGGCGAAGGCAGGUCUCUGGGCUGACACUGACGCUCAUGCACGAAAGCGUGGGGAGCAAACAGG